rnacentral:rRNA from 1 species
AUUGAACGCUGGCGGCAGGCCUAACACAUGCAAGUCGAACGAGUGGCGGACGGGUGAGUAAUGUCUGGGAAACUGCCCGACGGAGGGGGAUAACUACUGGAAACGGUAGCUAAUACCGCAUACCAUCGGAUGUGCCCAGAUGGGAUUAGCUAGUAGGUGGGGUAACGGCUCACCUAGGCGACGAUCCCUAGCUGGUCUGAGAGAAUGCCCAGCCACGCUGGAACUGAGACACGGUCCAGACUCCUACGGAAGGCAGCAGUGGGGAAAAUUGCACAAUGGGCGCAAGCAUGAUGAAGCCAUGCCGCGUGUAUAAAGAAGGCCUUCGGGUUGUAAAGUACUUUCAGCGGGGAGGCGUUACCCGCAGAAGAAGCACCGGCUAACUCCGUGCCAGCGGCCGCGGUAAUUC